rnacentral:rRNA from 1 species
UGGUGGAGUGAUUUGUCUGGUUAAUUCCGUUAACGAACGAGACCUUAGCCUGCUAACUAGUUUGUUUAAUUUCGAUUGAGAUAAGCUUCUUAGAGGGACUUUGUAAUCAAAUACAAGGAAGUUUGAGGCAAUAACA